rfam:Ovis aries breed Texel chromosome 15, whole genome shotgun sequence.
UCUUUGGCAGUCCAGUGGUUAGGACUCUGCACUUCUACUGCAGAGGGCACGGGUUCAAUUCCUGCUUGGGGAA